GAUGAACGCUAGCGGGAGGCUUAACACAUGCAAGUCGAGGGGCAGCAUAGGGUAGCAAUACUCUGAUGGCGACCGGCAAACGGGUGAGUAACGCGUAUGCAACCUACCCUGUACAGGGGGAUAACCCGGAGAAAUUCGGACUAAUAUCCCGUAAUAAUAUCCGGAGGCAUCUUUGGAUAUUUAAAGUUCCGACGGUACGGGAUGGGCAUGCGUAACAUUAGCUGGUUGGUAAGGUAACGGCUUACCAAGGCUAUGAUGUUUAGGGGUCCUGAGAGGGUGGUCCCCCACACUGGUACUGAGACACGGACCAGACUCCUACGGGAGGCAGCAGUGAGGAAUAUUGGUCAAUGGGCGCAAGCCUGAACCAGCCAUCCCGCGUGCAGGAAGACGGCCCGUACUGGGUUGGUAAACUGCUUUUCCUAGGGAGAGAAACUUACGCACGUGUUGCGUGACUGACGGUACCCUGGGAAUAAGCAUCGGCUAACUCCGUG
rnacentral:rRNA from 1 species